rnacentral:rRNA from 1 species
AAAAUAAAUAGUUUUUUAAUUGAAAACUUGAAUGAAAGAGUUGAUAAAAUAUAAAUUGUCUUAAAUUAAUUAUUUUGAAUUUAAAUUAAAAGUAAAAAUGCUUUUAUAUUUUUAUUAGACGAUAAGACCCUAAGAAUUUUAUUAUUUAUUUUUUUAUAAUUUUUAUUAUAAAUUUAUAGAAAAAAUAAAUAAUUUUAUUGGGAGGAUAAAUAAAUUUUGAACUUUAAUUUAUAUUAAAUAUUUUUUGAUAAAAUUUUAAUGAUUAUUAUUAAGAUUAUAAGAAUUAAUUACCUUAGGGAUAACAGCGUAAUAAUUUUGGAGAGUUCAUAUUGAUAAAGUUGUUUGC